AGAGAUCCAUAAACGUUUACCUUCGAGGUUGGUCAGAGAACCUCGCCGGAGUCUGAAAACUCUGUCGAGGUCGUUUUCGCCUCUGUCUUCGUGCAUUACAUUCUUUUCCUUACUACUUAUUACUUGUCUCACUUUGAAUGGAGGUCUUUUUUGUGUUUAGGUCGUUAAUUGGUAAUUUGUUAGGUUAGGGUUUUAGUUCUCUCUCGAUCCGGAAGAAUAGUUGUUUUUUUGUUAUUUUAGAGGACGGAUUC
rnacentral:lncRNA from 1 species